rnacentral:rRNA from 1 species
GGGGAAUAUUGGACAAUGGGCGGAAGCCUGAUCCAGCAACGCCGCGUGAGGGAUGACGGCCUUCGGGUUGUAAACCUCUUUCGGUAGGGAUGAAGCUGCUCCUUUUUGGGGGUGGUGACAGUACCUACAAAAGAAGGACCGGCCAACUACGUGCCAGCAGCCGCGGUAAUACGUAGGGUCCGAGCGUUGUCCGGAGUUACUGGGCGUAAAGCGCGCGCAGGCGGCCCGCGAGGUGUCACGUGAAAGCCCCGGGCUCAACUCGGGAGGGUCGUGGCAAACCGGCGGGCUUGAGGCCGGUAGAGGUGGGUGGAACUCCUGGUGGAGUGGUGAAAUGCGUAGAGAUCAGGAAGAACACCCGUGGCGAAGGCGGCCCACUGGGCCGGUACUGACGCUGAGGCGCGAAGGCGUGGGGAGCGAAC